rnacentral:rRNA from 1 species
GUGGGGAAUUUUGGACAAUGGGCGCAAGCCUGAUCCAGCAAUGCCGCGUGCAGGAAGAAGGCCUUCGGGUUGUAAACUGCUUUUGUACGGAACGAAACGGUCCUGGUUAAUACCUGGGGCUAAUGACGGUACCGUAAGAAUAAGCACCGGCUAACUACGUGCCAGCAGCCGCGGUAAUACGUAGGGUGCGAGCGUUAAUCGGAAUUACUGGGCGUAAAGCGUCCGCAGGCGGUGCUGUAAGACAGGCGUGAAAUCCCCGGGCUCAACCUGGGAAUUGCGCUUGUGACUGCAGUGCUGGAGUACGGCAGAGGGGGAUGGAAUUCCGCGUGUAGCAGUGAAAUGCGUAGAUAUGCGGAGGAACACCGAUGGCGAAGGCAGUCCCCUGGGCCUGUACUGACGCUCAUGCACGAAAGCGUGGGGAGCAAACAGGAUUAGAAACCCGAGUAGUCC